GCUUCCCGUUGUGUUAUCCACAGGCACAAUGGGUAUAUUGACUAUCGUUCAUUGAAGUUGUUGAUACAAAUGUUGAACAGGAGAAAAACCAGUAGCUUGCCAACUUGGCACCUCAUUCUCUAGCUUGACAGUAAUCUCUUAUCUAGUAGUUUUUAGAUAUGGUUAUUUAAUCAAAUAUCACUAGCUUCUAAUUUUGUUAUAAUUCAUUCAUGUAUACAGACAAUGAAGAAUCAUCUUUCUUCAUUCAACACAUUUAUUGGGAACCAAUCAUUGUCCAAGGCAAUAUGCUAGGCAUUGUGUAAUAGAAAGCGAUUAAGCUUUUACCCCUGUCCUCUUUGGCCUGCAAAGAGCAGGUAAGAUUCAUGCACAGACAAAUGUAGUACCAGGUAAAUAGUGAGGCCAAACACAAGAGGCAGGUCAAAGGGCUUUGGAUUCAGAGGAUGGAGAAGCUCUUUCUAGGCUGGUGAAAUAUUUGCAGAAUGAGUAGGCUCAUAAGUGGAGGUGAGGUACAGGCUAAGCUGCUGUAAGAAAGAGUCCAAAAUGCAAAGGAUUUACCACAAUGCAGUUAAUUUUUCUCACAACGGUCGAGGUAGGCAGGUGGUCCAAGUCCAGUUAAUCAGCCCUCCUCAACACAAGGCUUCCCCUUGUAAGCUCAGGAUGACCGCUCCAGUUCUCAUCAUCUCCCAGGCAGAAAAACGGGAGAAAGAGAACUAGACGUACCACCCAGUCAUUUUAAGGACAUAGCCAGGCCAGGUGCAGUGACUCACAUCUGUAAUCCAAGCACUUUGGGAGGUCGAGGCUGGAGGAUAGCUUGAAGCCAGGAGUUUGAGACCAGCUUGGAUAAGAAAGCAAGACCUUGUCUCUACAAAAAAUUUAAAAAUUAACCAUGUGUGGUGGUGUGCACCUAUAGUCCCAGCUACUCAGGAGGCUGAGGUGGAAGGAUCACUUGAGCACAGGAGUUGGAGGAUACAGUGAGCCAUGAUCACACCACCUCACUCCAGCCUGGGCAACAUAGUGAGACCCCAUCUCUUUAAAAAACAAAACAAAAAAACAUCACCAGGAAGUUGCUUACAUGUCUUCUAUUCCUAUAACAUCGGCCUGAGCUUAGUCACAUGGCCACACCCAGCAGAAAGAACUCUAGGAAAUAUGGUCUUAUGCUAGGUAACCCCAAACCCAGCUAAAACUGUUGCUUUUGAAGAAGGGUGAAACAGACAAUGUGGAGGAGAAUUACCAGUCUGCCACAAAGAGAAAGAAUUCUAUGUGAGGAAAACGCUCUAGAAGAGGGAGCUGAUUAAUUAGUUAUAUCUCAGCCGAGAGGAUGUUAUGAGAAACACAGAUUUGGGUUUAAUAGAAAAACUUAGAACCCUUCAAGAAGGAAUGGGCGGACUUGAGAGUGUCCUCCGCUUCUGAAAAUGAUCAAGAAAAAUGGUAAGAAUGUACACCUCAAGGGUGGAUGGUAAAGGUCAGCCUUUAAGCCUCAAUGGCGGUGUGGUUGUAGGUGGGGUGGGGGUGGAGGCCCCGAAGACAGGCAGACUACCACAGUAGCCCCGAUGGAAGCAGUGAGAAUGAACUGGAAGGAGCGGCUGUGGGAGCGACAACGUGAUGAGAAUAAACCCGGCUUGGCUCUGCCCUGUGCACACACAGGUGAGCUGUGUGCUCCCGGAUGUGUCAGCUGGUAUAUGCGUCUGUCAGAAGGCAGCUGGGGAGCACUGUUAGCUCAGAGACUAAGAGGCAGACCCAGGAAGCCCUUCUUUGCAUUGGUCAGGGUUUGCUGCAUUUUCCCAAGCCCAGGAAAUGGAACCCAGUUCUUCUUCUUUCUGUGUAAAAUAAUAAGCAUCACAAUAGGCUGUGCUCAUGAGAACGCAUUUUGUUUCCACAGAAAUGUUUUUUCUCACUCUGUCCUGAUUUUGAUUUCUGUUAAACUCAGUAAACACAUUACCAAAUUUUAAAAUAAGGUGACUUGUUUUCCCCAACUCACAGUUCACCAAAGGUAUUUCAUCUGUUUGUUCUGAAAAUGCAGCUGCUGUCUAGAUUUAUGUGUGCUCUGACAAGAAAUGUUUUGUGUAACAAUAAAAAUCAUUUCCUUUGAUGA
rnacentral:lncRNA from 1 species